rnacentral:rRNA from 1 species
AACCCGGGAAACUGGGGCUAAUACCCGAUAGGCGAGGGCGCCUGGAAUGGUUCUUCACCCAAAGGGCUUUGGAAGCAUGCUUUUCAAAGUCGCCUGGGGAUGGGGCCGCGUCCGAUCAGGUUGUUGGUGAGGUAACGGCUCACCAAGCCUAUAACCGGUACGGGCCGUGAGAGCGGUAGCCCGGAGAUGGGCACUGAGACAAGGGCCCAUGCCCUACGGGGCGCAGCAGUCGCGAAAACUCCGCAAUGCACGAAAGUGUGACGGGGCUACCCCGAGUGCCGUCCGCUGAGGAUGGCUUUUCCUCUGUGUAACUAGCCGGGGGAAUAAGGAGAGGGCAAGACUGGUGUCAGCCGCCGCGGUAAUACCAGCUCUCCGAGUGGUAGGGAUGAUUAUUGGGCUUAAAGC